rnacentral:rRNA from 1 species
UGGGGAAUAUUGCACAAUGGGCGCAAGCCUGAUGCAGCCAUGCCGCGUGUAUGAAGAAGGCCUUCGGGUUGUAAAGUACUUUCAGCGGGGAGGAAGGGAGUAAAGUUAAUACCUUUGCUCAUUGACGUUACCCGCAGAAGAAGCACCGGCUAACUCCGUGCCAGCAGCCGCGGUAAUACGGAGGGUGCAAGCAUUAAUCGGAAUUACUGGGCGUAAAGCGCACGCAGGCGGUUUGUUAAGUCAGAUGUGAAAUCCCCGGGCUCAACCUGGGAACUGCAUCUGAUACUGGCAAGCUUGAGUCUCGUAGAGGGGGGUAGAAUUCCAGGUGUAGCGGUGAAAUGCGUAGAGAUCUGGAGGAAUACCGGUGGCGAAGGCGGCCCCCUGGACGAAAACUGACGCUCAGGUGCGAAAGCGUGGGGAGCAAACAGG